CAGACUGGGCCAUGCCAUCCUGAACGUGCCCAAUCUCAUCCGAUCUCGGAAGCUAAGCAGGGUCAGGCCUGGUUAGUACUUGAAUGGGAGUCCACCUAGGAAGACCAGGUGCUUGUAGGC
rnacentral:rRNA from 1 species